GCUGGCGGCAGGCCUAACACAUGCAAGUCGAGCGGUAGCACAGAGAGCUUGCUCUCGGGUGACGAGCGGCGGACGGGUGAGUAAUGUCUGGGAAACUGCCUGAUGGAGGGGGAUAACUACUGGAAACGGUAGCUAAUACCGCAUAAUGUCGCAAGACCAAAGUGGGGGACCUUCGGGCCUCAUGCCAUCAGAUGUGCCCAGAUGGGAUUAGCUAGUAGGUGGGGUAACGGCUCACCUAGGCGACGAUCCCUAGCUGGUCUGAGAGGAUGACCAGCCACACUGGAACUGAGACA
rnacentral:rRNA from 1 species